rnacentral:rRNA from 1 species
AAAAAUUUGGCGGUAUUUUAGUCUUUUCAGAGGAACCUGCCCUGUAAUUGAUAGUCCACGAUAAAACUUACUUUAUUUAUUAGUUCACAUAUCGUCGUAGUUGGAAUAUUUUAAUAGAAAUUUAAUAUUCAUAAUUUUAAAUUAAAAAAUCAAUCAGAUCAAGGUGUAGUUUAUAGUAAAGGAGAGGUGGGUUACAUUAAAUUUAUUUCAGGAUAAUUUUUUUUAAAAAAAUUUGAAUUUGGAU